CCGGGAGCUGCCUGGCCUGACACCCUCCGGGGUCCCACCCGAGGUCUGGUUGUUUCUGUCCAUUUGUCUCUUCGGCAGGGCGUUCCUGCAGAUAGGGCCGCCACACGAACUGUUCCCAGAAGGCUCCCGGACUUUUCGUGUCGUCUAUGAAAAGGGGGUCGUACCACCAACCUACCACCAACCCUGCCUGACUUUUGGGGAUACUGUGAAGAGCAAAUGGGACCAAGAAUUUGGAAGAAGGUUCCAAACAACAGGCAACGCAAAUGCAAAGUAUCAUUAUUUCCAUUUCUGCAAAAUGGGAAUAAGGACUGUGUACCUGAAUCUUAAUUAGGUAAUGGUUGAAAUACAAAGCAUCCUUGAA